rnacentral:rRNA from 1 species
UACAGAGGUCCCGAGCGUUGUUCGGAUUCACUGGGCGUAAAGGGUGCGUAGGUGGCGAGGUAAGUCGGAUGUGAAAGCUCGGAGCUCAACUCCGAAAUGGCAUUGGAAACUACCUUGCUCGAGGGUUGGAGGGGGGACUGGAAUACUUGGUGUAGCAGUGAAAUGCGUAGAUAUCAAGUGGAACACCAGUGGCGAAGGCGAGUCCCUGGACAACUCCUGACACUGAGGCACGAAGGCUAGGGGAGCAAACAGG